GACGAACGCUGGCGGCGUGCCUAAUACAUGCAAGUAGAACGCAGUUGCGAACGGGUGAGUAACGCGUAGGUAACUGCCUCAUAGCGGGGGAUAACUAUUGGAAACGAUAGCUAAUACCGCAUACUGUGAGAUGGACCUGCGUUGUAUGUGCUAGUUGGUGAGGUAAAGGCUCACCAAGGCGACGAUACAUAGCCGACCUGAGCGGGUGAUCUGACACAAUGUGAUUGGGACAAGUCCCAGACCUCUACGUGAGGCAGCAUUAGGGAAUCUUCGGCAAUGGACGGAAGUUUGACCCGGCAACGCCGCGUGAGUUAAGAAGGUUUUCGGAACGGAAAGCCUUGUUGUUUGAGAAGCGGGAUCUAACCAGAAAGGGACGGCUAACUACGUGCCAGCAGCCGCGGUAAUUC
rnacentral:rRNA from 1 species